rnacentral:tRNA from 1 species
GAGUGGAACGGAUAUAAACCAUUCCUGCCUCAUAAGCAGGAGAUACCAGGUUCGACUCCUGGGCAACACA